rnacentral:rRNA from 1 species
AGUGAACGCUGGCGGUAGGCCUAACACAUGCAAGUCGAACGGCAGCACAGUAAGAGCUUGCUCUUACGGGUGGCGAGUGGCGGACGGGUGAGGAAUACAUCGGAAUCUACUUUUUCGUGGGGGAUAACGUAGGGAAACUUACGCUAAUACCACAUACGACCUACGGGUGAAAGCAGGGGAUCUUCGGACCUUGCGCGAUUGAAUGAGCCGAUGUCGGAUUAGCUAGUUGGCGGGGUAAAGGCCCACCAAGGCGACGAUCCGUAGCUGGUCUGAGAGGAUGAUCAGCCACACUGGAACUGAGACACGGUCCAGACUCCUACGGGAGGCAGCAGUGGGGAAUAUUGGACAAUGGGCGCAAGCCUGAUCCAGCCAUACCGCGUGGGUGAAGAAGGCCUGCGGGUUGUAAAGCCCUUUUGUUGGGAAAGAAAAGCAGCAGGUUAAUACCCCGCUGUUCUGACGGUACCCAAAGAAUAAGCACCGGCUAACUUCGU